AGAGCGAACGCUGGCGGCAGGCUUAACACAUGCAAGUCGAACGGACCCUUCGGGGUUAGUGGCGGACGGGUGAGUAACACGUGGGAACGUGCCCUUAGGUUCGGAACAACACAGGGAAACUUGUGCUAAUACCGGAUGUGCCCCUUACGGGGGAAAGAUUUAUCGCCUUUGGAGCGGCCCGCGUCUGAUUAGCUUGUUGGUGAGGUAAAGGCUCACCAAGGCUACGAUCAGUAGCUGGUCUGAGAGGAUGGCCAGCCACAUUGGGACUGAGACACGGCCCAAACUCCUACGGGAGGCAGCAGUGGGGAAUCUUGCGCAAUGGGCGAAAGCCUGACGCAGCCAUGCCGCGUGGAUGAUGAAGGUCUUAGGAUUGUAAAAUCCUUUCAGCGGGACGAUAAUGACGGUACCGCAGAAGAAGCCCGGCUAACUUCGCGCCAGCAGCCGC
rnacentral:rRNA from 1 species